GAUGAACGCUGGCGGCGUGCCUAACACAUGCAAGUCGAGCGAAGCGCGCCCCGGAAUCCUUCGGGAGGAAGGGUCGCGACUGAGCGGCGGACGGGUGAGUAACGCGUGGGCAACCUGCCCCAUACAGGGGGACAACGGCCGGAAACGGCCGCUAAUACCGCAUGAUUCCUCUUGGCCGCAUGGCCGGGAGGGGAAAGCCGAGACGGUAUGGGAUGGACCCGCGUCUGAUUAGCUGGUUGGCGAGGUAACGGCUCACCAAGGCGACGAUCAGUAGCCGGCCUGAGAGGGCGACCGGCCACAUUGGGACUGAGACACGGCCCAG
rnacentral:rRNA from 1 species